rnacentral:rRNA from 1 species
UACGUAGGUGGCAAGCGUUGUUCGGAAUUAUUGGGCGUAAAGCGUGCGCAGGCGGUGAUGUAAGACAGAUGUGAAAUCCCCGGGCUCAACCUGGGAACUGCAUUUGUGACUGCAUCGCUGGAGUACGGCAGAGGGGGAUGGAAUUCCACGUGUAGCAGUGAAAUGCGUAGAGAUGUGGAGGAAUACCGAUGGCGAAGGCAGCCCCCUGGGAUAACACUGACGCUCAUGCACGAAAGCGUGGGGAGCAAACAGG